GUGGGGAAUUUUGGACAAUGGGCGCAAGCCUGAUCCAGCAAUGCCGCGUGCAGGAAGAAGGCCUUCGGGUUGUAAACUGCUUUUGUACGGAACGAAACGGUCCGGGUUAAUACCCUGGGCUAAUGACGGUACCGUAAGAAUAAGCACCGGCUAACUACGUGCCAGCAGCCGCGGUAAUACGUAGGGUGCAAGCGUUAAUCGGAAUUACUGGGCGUAAAGCGUGCGCAGGCGGUUUUGUAAGACAGGCGUGAAAUCCCCGGGCUCAACCUGGGAAUUGCGCUUGUGACUGCAAGGCUGGAGUGCGGCAGAGGGGGAUGGAAUUCCGCGUGUAGCAGUGAAAUGCGUAGAUAUGCGGAGGAACACCGAUGGCGAAGGCAAUCCCCUGGGCCUGCACUGACGCUCAUGCACGAAAGCGUGGGGAGCAAACAGGAUUAGAAACCCCAGUAGUC
rnacentral:rRNA from 1 species